rnacentral:rRNA from 1 species
UACAGAGGGGGCAAGCGUUGUUCGGAUUUAUUGGGCGUAAAGAGCGUGUAGGCGGCCAAGCAGGUCCGCUGUGAAAACUCGAGGCUCAACCUCGAGACGUCGGUGGAAACCGUUUGGCUAGAGUCCGGAAGAGGAGAGUGGAAUUCCCGGUGUAGCGGUGAAAUGCGCAGAUAUCGGGAAGAACACCCGUGGCGAAGGCGGCUCUCUGGGACGGUACUGACGCUGAGACGCGAAAGCGUGGGGAGCGAACAGG